CCGGGCUCCCUCGGCGCUGGGGACUCUCCUCCCUCUUCCGAUGUCAUCGGCUGAAUUCGCAUACCUGGCAAGAGCCGUGCGCGCAUUCAGCCAGUCCAUAGGAAAGCAUUCUCAAUGCUUUUCUAUGGAUGUCAGUGUCUUCUCACUGUGAUUUUCGUGGAAGCGCCUCUAGCGGCUGUCAAUGAAACUGCUAUGUUUACAGCAGGCAC